GUCAAAAAUGGAGACAAGAGUACCCUGGUGGCUCAGCAGGAUAAGGAGCCGGCAUUGCUACAAUUGUGGCUUGGGUCGAUGCUAUCCUGGCCUAGGAACUUCUGCAUCUUUAGGCGUGGCCAAAAAAAAAAAAGACGGAGACAAAGACCCAGUUGAGUCAACCAAGGGAAACAAAAAAUUAGUAUCUUGUCUUUAGUUUCAGUCCUUCCUUGGAUUUACCUGUAACUCUAAUUUCACCUUUCUUCUCGCCUCACCAGGGUAAAGGCUAAGACAUGCCAAACACAAACUAACAUGUGUACAGCCGUCACUUUUUUUUUUUUUUUGCUUCCUCCAAUAGCUUAUGUCCACCCUAGUUCUUAGCAUUUUAACCAGGAAGGGAGCUGAGGAAAGGGAAGGGAGACUGUAGAAAAUACCCUUUAACAAUUAUCAAUUUUGGAAAGUGCCCUUCAGAUCUCUGCCUGGUUUACUUAUGGAAAACAAAAAGAUUUGGUAAAGUAGGUAGAAAUAUGGGACAAAAUGGAACUACUUGGAAUGUGACUUUCAUUUCUCCAGGCCAUAUGUAACUACACAAUUUCAGUUAAUUCUACACAAAACACUCAGAGCCCUCCACAGUUUCCACAAUAUUGGAUAAGACAGUACAGCUCAGAGUUGCAGUUAUUCCUGCAAUAUCGAUACAUGGUUUUUAAAAAAUUUUAGAUCCUAAAGCAAACAGGCUUGAGAAAGCAGUCAUCAGAAAAUGUUUUUAUUUUGUUAGCAGUUAUUCAAUGUUUGUUUAAUAUACCCUUCUGCAUAAGAAAAUCAGUUUGGUCUGGGUGAUGAAAAAGGACAGAGUUGGUUGUCAGGGUUAACGAGGUUUCCAGUCCUUUUCAUUGACUCCUAAGGCUCAUGAAUUUAAAUUUAAAAUUGCCCCUCAGAAUUUACCAUUAAGGUUGAUGUGCUUGAUCUGCUACAUUAUCAGCGUGAAAAGGAACAAGAUGCCAGGCCACUCUGGCACUGAUGGUUUGACCUUGGGGUAAAUCACAACCUUGCUUGAACUCUUCCAUCUGUAGUAAGAGGUGGUUAGUCUAACAGCUCUACGUAUCCGUGUAUUUUAUUAUCUCGACCACGGGUUCAACUCUCGCCUACGUGCCUACCCUCUGGCCAAGGCCUCCUGACCAGUGCAGCUCAGUUACCAAGACCAAGCCUAAUCCAAGGCCUGACAUAUUUGGGCCACUCCCAAAGAAUGGAAAGCCAGGACCAGGUCACUCCUGCUGCUAGAAAGACCACGCUGUGUCUUUUUUCUGCUUAAUCCUGCUAUUACUGGCUAAGCUGUACUGAUGUCUAAGUGGAAACAUUAGGGUAAUAUGGACGUUAUCACUUAAGAUUUCAUUUGGGUCUUACUGUACAUAAUAAGCAGAGUGAACUGAUCUCCUGUAUAAGGGGCACAUGUCCUCCAACCCUCAUAUGACUGGUGCUCUUCAAUGGGGAGGUUAAAAAUGGAAGUGCUAACUGGUAAACUCUGCCAGCAGCAUGGGUCACUCCAGAAGUUUCUGGGGUGGGAACUAGAGAAACUGGUUCUUUUAGAUAGGGUGCUUGCCACGCAAAGUUCACAAACAUUAAUUAAUAUGAAAUUUAAGUGUAAAUUUUCUGUUUAAACACUUCUAUAAGUAGGACCCCAGAUUAACAAGACUUGUAAAGUUCAUUUGAUAGACUUCACAUCUCCAUUAAUAUCUCUGGGUGGAGAAUCUGAAUGGUCCCCAGGUAGACUCUGUUACCCAAGGCCAAUGUUAGAACACCCUUCACUUGUGGUAUCCAGACAAAGAUGAUGAGUGAACACAGAGAGGGUACCAUACUUUCACAAACCCAAAGGAAAAACCAUACACAAAAAUAUUCAAAAAUGUCACUGAGGAGUUCCCGUUGUGGCACAGAGUAAAUGGGUCCAACUAGUAUCCAGGAGGAUGGGGGUUCGAUCCCUGGCCUUGCUCAGUGGGUCAGGGAUCCGGCGUGGCUGUGAGCUCUGGUGCAGUUCACAGACGCAGCUCGGAUCCCGAGUUGCUGUGGCUGCCGCGUAGACUGGCAGCUGCGGCUCUGAUUCAAACCCUAGCCUGGGAACUUCCAUAUGCCAUGGGUGUGCACUGCCCCACACCAAAGCAAAAAUGUCAUUGAAAAAUAAGAAAGGGUACUAUAAGCAGAUCAGGAAAUUUCAGUAAUUCCUGGAAAAUAGGAAGUAGAAGGGAGCAAGUAAAAAGUGAGAUAGCAAUAGGAAAUCAUAACCCCAAAUAUUCAAGAGACGGGAGUGAUUUCAGGGAGCCUCAAACUCAAACUCAGCCUCUAACACACUGGGGGGAUCCAUGGAGGAGGGGCAGAGAGGCAGCGGGCAGUCCCAGGGGCUCCUUGCUUGAGGUAAGCACCAGCAGCAGCAGUGGCCUCUGUCUCCAGCUGGAGCAGUGCCAGUUAAUCCUGAGCUGCUACAGGGCAGCUACUGACUCUUGGAGGCAAGAACCUCCCACACCUAGAAGACACCUAUGAUCUUACUGCAAUCAAGACCCCCGGGAGGAUUAAACUUGUGUCCUCAUGGAUACUAGUCAGAUUCGUUUCCACUGAGCCAUGAUGGGAAUGCCUUAAUGUCUACCCUAUUAAUGCUACUAAUAAUGGUAAAGGGGAAAAAAAAUGAAUAUAUUUAUCCCGUCUUGGGGUCAGCUUUUUAUAGAUGGAAAAAAAGCAAGUACUUGAUAGACCCAAGAAAUCCGAGAUUCUUCAUCAAGCUGCACAAGAGUACAUGCUAUUGUUUCAAAAAACUGUUUUUUGUUUGUUUUUUUUUUUUUUCUUUCUUUCUAUGGCUGCACUGGAGGCAUAUGGAAGCCGUGGGAGCUAGGGUUGAAUGGAGCUGCAGCUGCCUGCCUGUGCCACCGCCACGGCCGGAGCAACGUGGGGUCCAAUUCACAUCUGCAACCCAUGCCAAAGCUUCUGGCAACACUGUAUCCCCAACUCACUGAGCAAGACCAGGGAUUGAACCUACAUCCUCACAGACACAUCAGGUUCCUAACCCAGUGAGCCAUAAUGGGAACGCCAAGAAACUGUCUUCCAUUGACACUAAAUGAGUGUCUGUAAUAGGCCCUAUUCAAAACCUGUGUUAUCUGAGGGGAGACAUCAACUAGUCUCAAAUCUUUUAUGAGGAUUUAAUGUGUUCAACUACCUAAAAAAGGCAUCACAAGACACACUGAGUGAAUUUACACACAACUGAAAACAGCUAACAGGUGAUGAGACCAAGUUCAGAAGGGAAAAUGAUAUUGCCACAAAAUAAAAGGAAAGCUACCUUUAGUCCCUGAAGUCUAAGCUUUCAAAAAAGCAUCUGCUACAGCAGAACCCCACAGGGCCAGAUAAAUGCAUUUACUCUAAUUAUAAGAAGGUAGUUACAGAGAAGAUAUCAGGCAUUCUACUAGCAGAAAUAAAA
rnacentral:lncRNA from 1 species